GUAACAGCAGCUUUCAGACUCAGAGCAAUGACAGAGGAGAGGAAGUCCAGGAGUUUCUCUUCUUCUACACAGACCUGGUCUAGACAGCAGAACUGAGGAGGGAAGCAUGGGAAGACGAUGAAUGAAGGUGGAAGGUGUGUGAGCUGAUGUGAAGUGAGCAGCAUGGAUCAGUGUGAGGACAGAGAGGACAGAGUCCCUCCCUCUAAAACCACUCUGGGUGGAGAACAUGAGGACCAGAGCAAAGAUCAGAGGAAACCAGCAGAACCAGAACCUGAUUCUGGAGCAGAAUCUGAUUCCUCUUGUGAAUCCUUUAAAAGUGCUUUUUCAGAGAUCAGUGCUUUUUCAGAGAUCAGAUCAGAUUCAACCCAAAAUUCAUGUACUGAAAGG